rnacentral:rRNA from 1 species
CCUACGGGAGGCAGCAGUGAGGAAUAUUGGUCAAUGGGCGCUAGCCUGAACCAGCCUAGUAGCGUGAAGGAUGACUGCCCUAUGGGUUGUAAACUUCUUUUAUAUGGGAAUAAAGUGCAGUAUGUAUACUGCUUUGCAUGUACCUUAUGAAUAAGGAUCGGCUAACUCCGUGCCAGCAGCCGCGGUAAUACGGAGGAUCCGAGCGUUAUCCGGAUUUAUUGGGUUUAAAGGGAGCGUAGGCGGGUUGUUAAGUCAGUUGUGAAAGUUUGCGGCUCAACCGUAAAAUUGCAGUUGAUACUGGCAGCCUUGAGUACAGUAGAGGUAGGCGGAAUUCGUGGUGUAGCGGUGAAAUGCUUAGAUAUCACGAAGAACUCCGAUUGCGAAGGCAGCCUGCUGGACUGUAACUGAUGCUGAUGCUCGAAAGUGUGGGUAUCAAACAGGAUUAGAUACCCCAGUAGUC